UAACAAGGUUUCUGUAGGUGAACCUGCAGAAGGAUCAUUAGUGAAGAUUUGGGCAGGCCAUACGGACGCCAAAAAGUGUCCCUGGCCGCCUACACCCACUAUACAUCCACAAACCCGUGUGCACUGUCUUGGAGAAAGGCUUCAGAGAAGUUUUUUGUGGCCUCUCUUGGGGUCUUUCUUCGCUACAAACUCGAAUGGUUAGUAUGAACGUGGAACUUGGUUGGACCGUCACUGGCCAACAAACUAUACACAACUUUCGACAACGGAUCUCUUGGUUCUCCCAUCGAUGAAGAACGCAGCGA
rnacentral:misc_RNA from 1 species